GAGGAAAAGAAACUAACAAGGAUUCCCCUAGUANCGGCGAGUGAAGCGGGAAGAGCUCAAAUUUGAAAUCUGGUAGCCUUCGGUUGCCCGAGUUGUAAUCUAGAGAAGUGUUUUCCGCGUUGGCCCAUGUACAAGUCCCUUGGAACAGGGCGUCAUAGAGGGUGAGAAUCCCGUCCUUGACAUGGACCCCCAAUGCUUUGUGAUACACUUUCAACGAGUCGAGUUGUUUGGGAAUGCAGCUCAAAAUGGGUGGUGAAUUCCAUCUAAAGCUAAAUAUUGGCGAGAGACCGAUAGCGAACAAGUACCGUGAGGGAAAGAUGAAAAGCACUUUGGAAAGAGAGUUAAACAGUACGUGAAAUUGUUGAAAGGGAAACGAUUGAAGUCAGUCAUGCUCUUUGGAUUAAGCCGUUCUGCGGUGUAUUUCAUUGAGCGGGGUCAACAUCAGUUUUGAUCGCUGGAAAAGGGCAGGAGGAAGGUAGCACUCUCGGGUGAACUUAUAGCCUCUUGUCGUAUACAGUGAUUGGGACUGAGGAACGCAGCAUGCCUUUUGGCCGGGAUUCGUCCACGUACAUGCUUAGGAUGUUGACAUAAUGGCUUUAAACGACCCGUCUAAAAAAGGGGGCCCCACUAAA
rnacentral:rRNA from 1 species